GCUAGAAUUGCUAUAGUUUUAUAUUCCUUCUAAAAGUUAUCAGCCUGUUGAGCUACAUUCGGUGAAAGAAUUCAUUAGUGCUAAUAAUCAUAGCUAGUUUUAUACACAGGUUGUGUAGGUACUUGAUCUGCAUCAUACACGUUGGAUUCCGACUCCGAUUUCGGAUACUUAGUCUCCGCUAAUAAGUCUUCAUCUACCGAGAAUAGCAAUAGCUAGUUGCCAAAUAACAAAUCGGCGUUAAUUGGACUGAAAUGUAAGUCACAUAACCUACAAACUUGUAAUCACCAUCUAAAUAAUAAUUAUAUUAAUUUUAGUUUGAAG